CCUACGGGGUGCAGCAGUCGAGAAUCAUUCACAAUGGGGGAAACCCUGAUGGUGCGACGCCGCGUGGGGGAAUGAAGGUCUUCGGAUUGUAAACCCCUGUCAUGUGGGAGCAAAUUAAAAAGAUAGUACCACAAGAGGAAGAGACGGCUAACUCUGUGCCAGCAGCCGCGGUAAUACAGAGGUGUCAAGCGUUGUUCGGAAUCACUGGGCGUAAAGCGUGCGUAGGCUGUUUCGUAAGUCGUGUGUGAAAGGCGGGGGCUCAACCCGCGGACGGCACAUGAUACUGCGAGACUAGAGUAAUGGAGGGGGAAGCGGAAUUCUCGGUGUAGCAGUGAAAUGCGUAGAUAUCGAGAGGAACACUCGUGGCGAAGGCGGGUUCCUGGACAUUAACUGACGCUGAGGCACGAAGGCCAGGGGAGCGAAAGGGAUUAGAUACCCUAGUAGUC
rnacentral:rRNA from 1 species